rnacentral:rRNA from 1 species
GAUGAACGCUGGCGGCGUGCCUAAUACAUGCAAGUCGAGCGAACAGACGAGGAGCUUGCUCCUCUGACGUUAGCGGCGGACGGGUGAGUAACACGUGGAUAACCUACCUAUAAGACUGGGAUAACUUCGGGAAACCGGAGCUAAUACCGGAUAAUAUAUUGAACCGCAUGGUUCAAUAGUGAAAGACGGUUUUGCUGUCACUUAUAGAUGGAUCCGCGCCGCAUUAGCUAGUUGGUAAGGUAACAGCUUACCAAGGCAACGAUGCGUAGCCGACCUGAGAGGAUGAUCGGCCACACUGGAACUGAGACACGGUCCAGACUCCUACGGGAGGCAGCAGUAGGGAAUCUUCCGCAAUGGGCGAAAGCCUGACGGAGCAACGCCGCGUGAGUGAUGAAGGUCUUCGGAUCGUAAAACUCUGUUAUUAGGAAAGAACAAAUGUGUAAGUAACUAUGCACGUCUUGACGGUACCUAAUCAGAAAGCCACGGCUAACUACGUG